rnacentral:rRNA from 1 species
GCAGCAGUGGGGAAUUUUGGACAAUGGGCGAAAGCCUGAUCCAGCAAUGCCGCGUGCAGGAUGAAGGCCUUCGGGUUGUAAACUGCUUUUGUACGGAACGAAAAAGCUUCUCUUAAUACGAGAGGCCCAUGACGGUACCGUAAGAAUAAGCACCGGCUAACUACGUGCCAGCAGCCGCGGUAAUACGUAGGGUGCGAGCGUUAAUCGGAAUUACUGGGCGUAAAGCGUGCGCAGGCGGUUAUGUAAGACAGAUGUGAAAUCCCCGGGCUCAACCUGGGAACUGCAUUUGUGACUGCAUGGCUAGAGUACGGUAGAGGGGGAUGGAAUUCCGCGUGUAGCAGUGAAAUGCGUAGAUAUGCGGAGGAACACCGAUGGCGAAGGCAAUCCCCUGGACCUGUACUGACGCUCAUGCACGAAAGCGUGGGGAGCAAACAGGAUUAGAUACCCUGGUAGUCCACGCCCUAAACGAUGUCAACUGGUUGUUGGGAAUUAGUUUUCUCAGUAACGAAGCUAACGCGUGAAGUGAC